rnacentral:rRNA from 1 species
UACGGAGGGUGCAAGCGUUAUUCGGAAUUACUGGGCGUAAAGGGCGCGCAGGCGGCUUGGUAAGUCAGUUGUGAAAGCCCGGGGCUUAACCCCGGAAGUGCAAUUGAAACUGUCAGGCUUGAGUAUGGAAGAGGGAGUUGAAUUCCUGGUGUAGCGGUGAAAUGCGUAGAUAUCAGGAGGAACACCGGUGGCGAAGGCGACUUCCUGGACCAAAACUGACGCUGAGGCGCGAAGGCGUGGGGAGCAAACAGG